rnacentral:rRNA from 1 species
UCCAGGCCCUACGGGGUGCAGCAGGCGCGAAACCUUUACAAUGCACGAAAGUGUGAUAAGGGGAUCCCCAGUGCUCACGUACUGCGUGGGCUUUUGCCAAGUGUAAAAAGCUUGGCGAAUAAGUGGUGGGUAAGACUGGUGCCAGCCGCCGCGGUAACACCAGCGCCACGAGUGGUAACCGCGAUUAUUGGGCCUAAAGCGUCCGUAGCCGGUUCUGCAAAUCUUUUGUGAAAUUGUGCGGCUCAACCGUACAACGUGCAAGAGACACUACAGAACUUGAGACCGGGAGAAGUCAGAAGUAUUCCAGGGGGAGCGGUAAAAUGUUAUAAUCCCUGGAGGACUACCUAUGGCGAAGGCAUCUGACCAGAACGGAUCCGACGGUGAGGGACGAAAGCCAGGGGAGCGAACCGGAUUAGAUACCCGAGUAGUCCUGGCCGUAAACGCUGUGAGCUAGGUGUUGCGUCAGCGACCUGCUGGCGCAGUGUCGAAACGAAGGUGUUAAGCUCACCGCCUGGGAAGUACGGUCGCAAGACUGAAACUUUAAGGAAUUGGCGGGGGAGCACCACAAGGGGUGCGGCGUGCGGUUUAAUCUAACUCAACGCAGAGAACCUCACUAGGGGCGACGGCAGGAUGAAGGUCAGCUCGAAGAGCUUACCUGACAAGCCGAGAGGUGGUGCAUGGCCGCCGUCAGCUCGUGCUGUGAAGUGUCCUCUUAAGUGAGGCAACGAGCGAGACCUGUAUCUGCAAUUGCUAACAGCCACAUGUGGGACUGAGCACUUUGCAGAGACUGCUCCGGAAACGGAGAGGAAGGUGCAGGCUACGGUAGGUCUGUAUGCCCCGAAUCCCCUAGGCUACACGCGCGCAACAAUGGUCGGGACAAUGGGAUGCAACUCCGAAAGGAGAAGCUAAACCUCUAAACCCGACCCAAGUCUAGAUCGAGGCUUGCAACUCAGCCUCGUGACAACGGAAUCCCUAGUAAUCAGAAGUCAUCAUCUUCUGGUGAAUAUGUCCCUGCACCUUGUACACACCGCCCGUC